rnacentral:rRNA from 1 species
UACGUAGGGGGCAAGCGUUGUCCGGAAUCAUUGGGCGUAAAGAGCGCGUAGGCGGCCCUGUAAGUCCGCUGUGAAAGUCAAGGGCUCAACCCUUGAAUGCCGGUGGAUACUGCAGGGCUAGAGUCCGGAAGAGGCGAGUGGAAUUCUUGGUGUAGCAGUGAAAUGCGCAGAUAUCAGGAAGAACACCCGUGGCGAAGGCGGUUCUCUGGGACGGUACUGACGCUGAGACGCGAAAGCGUGGGGAGCGAACAGG